rnacentral:sRNA from 1 species
AUAUGCCCAAUGGUUGACCAAGGGUUUAUUAAUGCUUCUACACCAAGAGGUCGGGGUUCGAGUCUCAGCUACUGCGAUUUAUUAGCAGAUUUGCAGAUUAAUGGAGGCAAGUGUGCAAAAGAUCUACAACGAUGUACAAUUAUAGCCGUUCACCUAGGAUUCUACGCAGAGAAGAUAUUGAAGGUGUCCAUCAAGCGCAUGGAGAAGGAGAAUGAUGUGUCGUCUGCCAUAGAUCUAAUAAGGGUCGGAAGGAAUUAUCCGUGGUAGAAUCGUCUAUGUAACAAUUCUCAUAAUUUGUAAUAAAUAAUAAAUCUAGACGGUAAAAAAAACCAGAAAAAAAAGACGGGAGAAAGAAAACAUUUGUCUGUGUGCA